rnacentral:rRNA from 1 species
ACACAUGCAAGUUGAACGGGAACAUACGAUAGCUUGCUAUAGUAUGUGAGAGUGGCGCACGGGUGAGUAAUACAUGGGAACAUACCUUAAAGUGGGGGAUAACUUCUGGAAACGGAUGCUAAUACCGCAUAUACCCUGAGGGGGAAAGAUUUAUCGCUUUAAGAUUGGCCCAUGGCAGAUUAGGUAGUUGGUGGGGUAAAGGCCUACCAAGCCGACGAUCUGUAGCUGGUCUGAGAGGACGAUCAGCCACAUUGGGACUGAGACACGGCCCAGACUCCUACGGGAGGCAGCAGUGAGGAAUAUUGGGCAAUGGGGGCAACCCUGACCCAGCCAUGCCGCGUGAGUGAAGAAGGUUUUCGAAUUGUAAAGCUCUUUCGGAUGUGACGAUGAUGACGGUAGCAUCUAAAGAAGCCCCGGCAAACUUCGUGCCAGCAGCCGCGGUAAUACGAAGGGGGCGAGCGUUGUUCGGAAUUACUGGGCGUAAAGGGUGUGUAGGUGGACGUGUAAGAUAGCGGUGAAAUGCCGGAGCUCAACUUCGGAAUUGCCAUUAUAACUAUGCGUCUAGAAUUAUAGAGAGGAUAGCGGAAUACCCAGUGUAGAGGUGAAAUUCGUAGAUAUUGGGUAGAACACCAGUGGCGAAGGCGGCUAUCUGGCUAUAUAUUGACACUGAGGCACGAAAGCAUGGGGAUCAAACAGGAUUAGAUACCCUGGUAGUCCAUGCCGUAAACGAUGAAUGCUGGUUGUCGGACGAAUGUUCGGUGACGAAGUUAACGCGAUAAGCAUUCCGCCUGGGGAGUACGGCCGCAAGGUUAAAACUCAAAGGAAUUGACGGGGACCCGCACAAGCGGUGGAGCAUGUGGUUUAAUUCGAUGCAACGCGAA